rnacentral:lncRNA from 1 species
AUGAUGAUGAUGAUGAUGUACGAUUCGAUCAAUUUCGACUGAGUUUUGAUAUAGAAAUGUGACUAUUUUGUUGACAGAUGAGUGAAGAGCAGCAGCGACCUGCGCCUCGUCUUAACGAGAGGAUCCUCUCUUCCUUGUCCCGACGAUCCGUUGCUGCUCAUCCUUGGCAUGAUCUUGAGAUUGGUACAUUAUAAAAGCUCUUUCCUUUCCUUUUUGGUUUUGUAUUUUCCAACUAUAAUCAUGAAUCUCUUGGUAGGACCUGGAGCUCCCCAGAUUUUCAAUGUUGUAAGUUUCUACACCUUUUUUUAUUAUUAUUAUUAUUAUUGAAUAAUAAUCACUUUAUUAGAAUCGUUCUUAUCUUUUGGAUGAAAUAUUAAUUUAGGUCGUUGAGAUCACAAAGGGAAGCAAAGUCAAAUAUGAACUUGACAAAAAGACUGGACUCAUCAAGGUGUUGUUAUCUAUUAUUAUAUAAAGCUCCAAUUUGAUGUUUUUGUCUUAGUAAAUGGUUUCUUCAUAAAUUACAAAAUUUUGAUUUUUAAUUCCAGGUUGAUCGUAUUCUCUACUCAUCAGUUGUUUACCCACACAACUAUGGUUUCGUUCCUCGCACAUUGUGUGAAGACAAUGACCCUAUUGAUGUUUUAGUCAUCAUGCAGGUAUCUCUCUCACUCUUUUUUUUUUUUUUUUUCAUAUUUGCCACCAAACUGUUUUUUUUACAUCACUCACUCAAUUUAACAAAAUCUGUGUAGGAACCUGUGCUUCCUGGUUGUUUUCUACGUGCUCGUGCUAUUGGAUUAAUGCCUAUGAUUGACCAGGUAAUAAUCCAAUAGGGUCAUUGGCUAAUCAUUGAGCUUUGCUUUAUAAAUGAUUCUUGUUUGUUUCUUGUAUUCAGGGUGAGAAAGAUGACAAGAUCAUAGCAGUCUGUGUUGAUGAUCCUGAGUACAAGCAUUACAUUGACAUCAAAGAACUUCCUCCUCACCGUCUCUCUGAGAUCCGUCGUUUCUUUGAAGACUGUAUCCUCUUUUAUUGUUCACUUUUUAUUCGAUUUCUCAGUAAGUGUUAGGUUUUCCAUUUAACGUAUAUAGACAAGAAGAACGAGAACAAGGAAGUUGCGGUUAAUGAUUUUCUGCCAUCUGAGAAUGCUAUUGACGCUAUCCAGUACUCUAUGUAAGUCUCUGUUUCUCCACUAAGAACCAAACUUUCUUACAGCUUUUCAAGUUUUAAAUCAACUACUCUUGGAUUUUGAUUUUUCAUUUACAGGGACCUCUAUGCUGAGUACAUUCUCCAUACCCUGAGACGUUGAAGCUUCUUCUCCUCAGAACAUCUCUUGCAACAUCUUGGUUUCUGUUUACCUUUUUAUCUUUAAUUGAUACUUCCUCUGCAUUUUCUUGUAAGACUUUGGAUCUUUCAUUUGUCCUUGUCAACUCAUUACGAUUGAAUCUAUUUCUUGGAAUGAUUAGAAUUAUUGUUCAAGUAUCUGUUUACAUUUAUGGCUGUAAAAUAAAUAUAAUAUAAAAUCUAAAAAAAAAGGGUAGUAAAAUGAAAGUUAGCAUUAGUCCAAUGGGAUUUGGACUUAGACGUCAACAUGAACAACAUACGCGUGGUACAUUAGUGAUCAAGCUUGGCCUGAUGCCUAAGAAAUAAUCCACCCAUCCAGGUUUAAGUCAUUGUUCAUUCAAUAGUCAGUACUCUUUGGUAACAACAUUAAACAUUGUUUAAAAAAAAAAUGAAUAUAGAUUUAUUUCGAUUGCGAGAGUAUUUUACUUGAAGAAUUAGUGUUCAAUUAUUUGUUUACAUAUUAAAAAUAUAAAAUCUAAAAUCUAAAAGGAGGUAGUAAAUAAUAGUUAACAUUAGUCCAAUGGAGAUUUGGACUUGGACAUCAAUUUGAACAAGCACAUUUAUGAUGUGGACUUGAAGGACUCUUGAAAAGUAGUGAAUAUAAGUAAAAAAUUUUAUUUGAUAUUAAUCUUGUUUACUUUUGUAGAACCUGUCAUUUUGGAACGCCAAAGAAGAGAGUUUUGACAUUUUUUUUUUUGAUUCUUUGUAUUGAAUUGAUACAAAUUUGUCUUCUCGAACCAAUUCUUACCACAAACUCUCUUUUUCUUUUCAUAUAUCUUACAUGUAACGAAACAAGCUAGAUAUAACUUAUACAUAUGUGGAAACUACAAAAUCAUAUCACUGAACAAUGGUGAAUUUUGUUAACUAAAAACCUAUAUUGUAAUACAAAAACAGCUCCCUUCUUCUCGAUCAAGGGACAAACCGACAAAGUAAAAUCAUGUAAUCAGAAUCACUAAUCAUCACUACUAUAUAUGACCGAUGAAGAUACUGGUCAUUGACUUUUGCAUAGAAGCAAUCUCAAUCUGUUCAUCACCAUCAUAAUCAAGCAGGCUAUUCAAAUCAUAGCUUAAUAGCUCUUCGAAAUCUGUCUGAGUUUCAGAUUCGAACUGCAUUUCUUGCUGAUGGUCACGAAAACCACUAAACUGACUUGGACUCUGUAAUCCAGAAAAAAAAAGGGGGAAGAAGAAUACAAAUGAGUGUCUAUGAGAUAUGGUUCUGACUUCUGAGGAAGUAAAAGAGAUAUUGACCCACCUCAGAUCCUCCAGGAUUGGUCAUAGGAGUGGGACUGUGCUCAACAUUGUCGACACCGGAAGAAGAAGAGAUCUCACUUGCUUCACCCUUAAACUGUACUUUGCAGAUAGUAUAUGCGCCGCUCUGUCAAACCAAUUCAGCAUAAUCGAUUGAUUACUGUACUUAUACAAACAAACAAAGCAUAGCGGUAGUGAAAGCCGAGCAAGACUGAAAAUGUACCUGAGGAGGAGAGAGGCAAGAAGCGUGAUACUCGUGCAUAACCCAGUUGGAUUUGGAUCCGUUCUUGUAAAACACCAAAACCUGUUUCUCACCGAUUUUUUGGCGGUUACCUCUCUUUCGCUUGAUAGGCAAGGUAUUACCGGUUUUCUUCCAAAAACCAGACUUGGUUUUCCUCUUCUGUCGCUCACCUUUGUUAUAUUUGCUUUCCUUGCGUCCGAAGAAAUGCCAAACCUGAUCACUCGACGCGAUCCUCGACUGCGCUGAGAAAUAACAAAACCCCCCGAAAAAAGAACGAUAGGAAUCAGAAUAUUGUUAGCCAAUGAUUUAAACUUGAUAGAAUCAGUCGGAAGGAGACGUACGAGGCAGAUCCCAAGGAUCGAAGUUACAGAUGUUGACUGUGCUAAUGACUUCAUCGACAUGGCUCGUGUUGGAACCACCUAUAUUUUUAAGACGGAGAUAAUGGUCGACGAUCUCCUCGUCUGUCGGAAUAAACCUUAGCCCCACCAGAUUCUCCAUUUUGCUUCCGCCACAAAUGUUGUCCGAUAACCAAACUGAGAAACAGAGAGAGCUAUCAAUCGUGGGAGAAAGAAAAGACGGUGAAGUAUAUAUUUAUAGGGAGACAACUAUCAACCAUAAAGGUCCGGUCUCACACGUGCCAAAUGGUGCGGGACAAUAUUAAAAAUUCAAGAAGGAAAAAAUGAAGACAAAGACGAAGGUCCACGGUCGUUUUUGAUAACGUACAGUAGUGGUAUUCAAUAUAUAUAGUAUAGUAUUUAAAUUUGGGGCUUGUAGUUGAAGAAAUAGAAGAAGCCCCGGUGCCUACGAUACCUGCGUCGAAAUAUCAAAAAUUAAAAUAAAUAUUUAAAAUUAAUAAACUAUCAUAGAGAUUUAACGUUGACCUCUGAUUCGGAUCAGGUCACCGUGGUACAGCCACGAUUGCUAGCUGCGUUAUAGAUCGUCUUAUUAGUUCUUCGUACAGCUUGUCAGUUGGCAAAAAAUAUAUUGGGUUUAUAGACGUCGUUCGACCAACCAAAACAAAGGGACGGAAGUCGUUGAACUUCGGAAAAUUAAACACGUUGCAUGUAUUAUGUCCACGUGGCAUUUAGUUAAAGAAAAAAGAAAUCUGUUUUAUUUUCUUAAUUGUCCAUGAAUACGUGAGGAAUCACCUUUAGAGAAAAAAGUGUGUACCAUUCAUUCAACAUAAAUCACAUAUAGUUGCUAUAGCUACUUGUUUCUUUUCUAAGGUGUAAAUAUUGAAUUACAAAAGCGUGUACAAAGGAUGAAAUGAACAUAGUGAUUGGUUCUUGAAAUGAAAAAUGUUUUUCAUCAACUAGAGAAAAUAAAGAAAGCAUGUACAGAGUGAGUUAUGGAUUACUUGAUAAGGAAGAGACCAAUGGCGGUAACAAUUAGAGUUGAAGUAUUAGUCUGGGCUUCUCCAUGGAUUUGGGCUACCCCAGAUUAAAAAAAAAAAAAAUAAUUAAAAAAUUAGAGUUGAAGGUAAACCAAACUUGAUAUGUUUAGUGAAUGUGAGAGUGUAGCCAUGACUUACUGCUCUACGAGCUUGCAUACAUCAUAAAGGUCAAUAGGCUAAUUUUUACAGUAUUUUCCCAUUUUUGUUUUGUAAAUAUAAGCAAAAAAUUCUUUUCCACCUGGGUCAAUUGACCCACCUCCCAUAAAGGUGGCUCCACCACUGGCAACAACGACGCCUUCUUCUUCCCCCCCUGCCGCUGCUGAUGCCGCUACUCUUGCUCCCAAUACCCUCGUUAAGCAUUUUCAUUCAUGGAUAUGGAGAAAAUAAACAUCCACUUUUUCAUAAAUAAUCAUCCACUUGUUAGUUGGGUCUUUCAUUAACGGUCCAUCUUAAUGUUAAACAUAACCCAGUAUUACAAAAUCAGUGGUACAUUAUUGGUCAUUGAUAAUGGGCCCGAGGAUGCAAGUCAUUGUUCAUUCAACAGUCAAUACUCUCUGGUAAGAUUAAACAGUUUUUUUGUUGUUCAAUUAUUUGUGUACAUAUACAAAAAUCAAAAUCUAAAGAGGUAGUAAAAUAAUAAUUAACAUUAGUCCAAUGGGAUUUGGAAUUAGGUAUCAACAUGAACAGCCACAUAUAUGAUGUGGACUUUAAGAGGCUCUUGAAAAGUAGUAAAUAUAUGUACCUUUUUUAUUCUUUUUAUUUCAAUUACUCAUGUACCUUUUUUUUAUUUGAUAUUAAUCUUGUUUGCUUUUGUAGAACAUGUCAUUUUCGAACGUGAAAGGGAGUUUUGACAUUUUUUUGUUUCUUGUGUUGAAUUGAUACAACUGUCUUCUCUAACCAAUUCUUAUCAUCACAAACUCUCCUUUUCUUUUCAUAUAUAUAUACGAAAAUAUUGAAUUUUUCAGUAAAUGUUCUAUAAACUAAAGUCUAUAAUCUUUAGUGUUGUUUUAAAAUUUCUAACUACACUCUACAUUUAUGUUAAUGUAUGAUAAACUUUCUUUUAUGCUACAUGAGCAUUGUUCUUAUUCUUUAUCAAAUAAUUUAGUAAAACUGCAUAUACUCCUUAAAUUAAUGGAAUAACCACAAUAAAAUCAUUAUUAUCUUGAGAAACGGACAAAACAUAAGUUCCAAACCUAUUUGACCAUUAUUAUAUGUUUGUAUAGGAUGCAACUAUGCAUUAAAAUAGUAUUGUCAUAUUUUUGAAUUUUUCUCAAAAUCUAUGUGUUAACCCCUACAAAAAUAUUGAAAUUUUUGGUAAUUUCUAUGUAUACUGAAGCCUAUUAUUUUUAGUAUUCAUUUUGACUAAUGUAUGUUAAACUCCCUUUUAUGAUACAUUGACAUCGUCUUAAUUUUUAAUCAAUUAAUUUAGUAAAACUGCAUAUACUUUCUAAAUUAGUAGAUAAAAUCGUUAUUUUCUUGAGAAAUAGAGACAAUAAAGGUUCCAAACCUCUUUGACCAUCAUCAUAUGUCAUUGCAGGAUUCAAUUAUGUAUUAAAACAAUAUUGUCAUAUUUUUUGAUUUUUUCUUAAAAUCUAUGUGUAAAUGCUCUAUAUAUUAAAGCCUAUAAUUAGAUUUAUUUAAAAUUUAUAACCACAUUAUACAUUUGUAUUAAUGUAUGUUAAACUCUUUUUCAUAGUACAUGAACAUCGUUCUAAUUUUUAUCAAUUAAUUUAGUAAACUACCUAUACUCACUAAAUCAGUGGAAUAACCACUAUAAAUUGAUAUUUCCUAGAGAAACGGAGACAACAAAUGUUCCAAACUUAUUUAAACAUCAUCAUAUGUUAUUCAAGGAUGCAACUAUGUAUUAAAACAGUAUUGUCAAAUUUUUGAAUUUUUCUCAAAAUCUAUGUGUUACCCUAUGGAAAUAUUGAGUUUUUCGGUAAAUCCUCUAUAUAAUGAAGCCUAUAAUCUUUAGUGUUGUUUUAAAAUUUCUAACCACACUCUACAGUUAUUUUAAUGUAUGUUAAAUUUUCUUUCAUGCUACAUGGACAUUGUUCUUAUUUUUUAUCAAAUAAUUUAGUAAAACUGCUUAUACUCCUUAAAUCAAUGGAAUAACCACAGUAAAAUCGUUAUUAUCUUGAAAAAUGGAGACAACAAAAGUUGCAAACCUAUUUGAACAUUAUUAUAUAUUUUUUUAGGAUGCAACUAUGCAUUAAAACAGUUUUGUCAUAUUUUUGAAAUUUUUUCAAAAUCUAUGUGUUAACCCCUACGAAAAUAUUAAAUUUUUCGGUAAUUGCUAUAUAUACUGAAGCCUAUUAUUUUUAGUGAUGUUUUAAAAUUUAUAGCCAUAUUCUUCAUUUUGACUAAUGUAUGCUAAACUCCUUUUUAUAGUACAUGUGCAUCGUUCUAAUUUUUAAUCAAUUAAUUUAGUAAAACUGCAUAUACUUUCCAAAUUAGUGGAUUAACCACUAUAAAAUCGCUAUUCUCUUGAGAAAUGGAGACAACAAAGGUUCAAAACCUCUUUGACCAUCGUCAUAUGUUAUUGUGUGAUUCAAUUAUGUAUUAAAACAAUAUUGUUAUAUUUUUAGAAUUUUUCUCAAAAUCUAUGUGUUCCCCUACGAAAAUAUUGAGUUUUUCGGUAAAUGCUCUAUAUAUUGAAGCCUAUAAUCUUUAGAUUUGUUUUAAAAUUUAUAACCACAUUAUACACUUUUAUUAAUGUAUGCUAAACUCUUUUUCAUGGUACAUAGACAUCGUUCUAAUUUUUUAUCAAUUAAUUUAGUAAAACAACAUAUACUCCCUAAACCAAUGGACUAACCACUAUAAAAUUGAUAUUCCCUAGAGAACCGGAGACAACAAAGAUUCCAAACUUCUUUAAACAUCAUCAUAUGUUAUUGAAUGAUUCAACUAUGUAUUAGAACAAUAUUUUCAUAUUUGUUGAAUUUUUCUCAAAUUCUAUGUGUUAUAUUGAGUUUUUCGGUAAAUGCUAUAUAUACUGAAGCCUAUAAUCUUUAAUGUUGUUUUAAAAUUUCUAACUACAUUCUACAUUUGUGUUAAUGUAUGCUAAAGUCUUUUCAUGUUAUAAGGACAUCGUUCUAUUUUUUAUUAAUUAAUUUAGUAAAACUGCAUAUACUCCCUAAAUUAGUGGACUAACCACAGUAAAAUCGUUAUUAUCUUGAGAACGGAGACAACAAAGGUUCCAAACCUAUGUGACCAUCAUAAUAUGUUUGUGUAGGAUGCAACUAUGCAAUAAAACAUUAUUGUCAUAUUUUUGAAUUUUUCUCAAAAUCUAUUUGUUAACCCCAUACGGAAAUAUUGAGUUUUUCGGAAAAUGUUAUAUAUACUGAAGCCUAUUAUUUUUGGUGUUAGUUUAAAAUUUCUAGCCAUAUUCUUCAUUUUUAAUAAUGUAUUCUAAACUCCCUUUUAUGGUACAUGGACAUCGUUCUAAUUUUUAAUCAAUUAAUUUAAUAAAACUGCAUAUACUUUCUAAAUUAGUUGACUAACCACUAUAAAAUCGUUAUUUUCUUGAGAAAUAGAGAAAACAAGCUUCCAAACCUCUUUGACCAUCAUCAUAUAUUAUUGCAGGAUUCAACUAUGUAUUAAAACAUUAUUGUCAUAUUUUUUGAAUUUUUCUCAAAAUCUAUGUGUUAACAACCCCCUACAAAAAUAUUAAAUUUUUCGGUAAAUGCUCUAUAUAUUGAAGCCUAUAAUCUUUAGAUUUGUUUAAAAAUUUAUAACUACAUUACACAUUUGUAUCAAUGUAUACUAAACUUCUUUUCAUGGUACAUUGACAUCGUUCUAAUUUUUUAUCAUAAUUUAGGAAAACUGUAUAUACACUCCCUAAAUCAAUGGGCUAACCACUAUAAAAUUGAUAUUCCUUAGAGAAACGGAGAUAACAAAGGUUUCAAACUUCUUUAAACAUCAUCAUAUAUUAUUGAAGGAUACAACUAUGUAUUAAAAUAAUUUUGUCAAAUUUUUUGAAUUUUUCUCAAAAUCUAUAUGUUAACAACCCAUACGAAAAUAUUGAAUUUUUUGAUAAAUGCUUUAUAUACUGAAGCCUGUAAUCUUUAGUGUUAUUUUAAAAUUUCUAACCACAUUAUAAAUUUUUGUUAAUGUGUGAUAAACUCUAUUUCACGGUACAUGGGCAUCGUCCUUAUUUUAUAUCAAUUAAUUUAGUAAAACUUCAUAUACUCCUUAAAUCAAUGAAAUAACCACAAUAAAAUCAUUUUUAUCUUGAGAAACGGAGACAACAAAGGUUCCAAACCUAGUUGACCAUUAUUAUAUGUUUGUGUAGGAUGAAACUAUGUAUUAAAACAAUCGUCUCAUAUUUUUUAAAUUUUCUCAAAAUCUAUGUGAAGAUAUUGAAUUUUUCGGUAAAUGCUAAAUAUACUGAAGCCUAUUAUUAUUAGUGAUGUUUUAAAUUUUUUGUCAUAUUCUUCAUUUUUACUAAUGUAUGCUAAACUCCCUUUUGUGGUAUAUGGGCAUCGUUCUAAUUUUUAAUCAAUUAAUUUAGUAAAACUGCAUAUAUUUUCUAAAUUAGUUGACUAACCACUAUAAAAUCGCUAUUUUCUUGAGAAACGGAGACAACAAAGCUUCCAAACCUCUUUGACCAUCAUCAUAUGUUAUUGCAGGAUUCAACUAUGUAUUAAAAUAUUAUUAUUAGAUUUUUUGAAUUUUUCUCAAAAUCUAUGUGUAACAUCUACGAAAAUAGUGAGUUUUUCGGUAAAUGCUCUAUAUAUUGAAGCCUAUAAUAUUUAGAUUUGUUUUAAAGUUGAUAACCACAUUACACAUUUAUAUCAAUGUAUGCUAAACUCCUUUUCAUGGUACAUGGACAUCGUUCUAAUUUUUAAUCAAUUAAUUUAGUAAAACUGCAUAUAUUUUCUAAAUUAGUUGAUUAACCAAUAUAAAAUCGCUAUUUUUUUGAGAAAAAGAGACAACAAAGCUUUCAGACCUCUUUGACCAUCGUCAUAUGUUAUUGCAGGAUUCAACUAUGUAUUAAAACAUUAUUAUCAUAUUUUUUGAAUUUUUUUCAAAAUUUAUGUGUUAACGUCUCAGUACAUACAUGUAACAAAACAGGCCUACACAUAACUUAUGCAAAAUAAGUUUGCGCUGGAUGCAGCUAUCAUGAAACGAACAUGGCUAUUGAUAAUGGGCCGGAUGGCUAAGUCAUUUUUCAUUCAAUAGUCAAUAGACUCAAUACCCUCUCUCUGGUAAGAUUAAACAGUUUUUAUUGUUCAAUUAGUUUUGUACAUACUGAAAACAAGCUCAAAUCUAAAAAAAGGUAGUAAAAAAUAGUUAACAUUAGUCCAAUGGGAUUUGGAAUUAGGCAUCAACAUGAACAACACAUAUAUGAUGUGGACUUUAAAAGACUCUUGAAAAGUAGUAAAUAUAUGUACCUUCUUUUAUUGUUCAAUUACUUUUGUACAUAUUGAAAACAAGCUAAAAUCUAAAAAGAGGUAGUAAAAUAAUAGUUAACAAUAUAGUCCAAUGGGAUUUGGAAUUAGGCAUAGACAUGAACAACCACAUAUAUAUGAUGUGGACUUUGAGACUCUUGAAAAGUAGAUGUUCUACGUACCUUUUUUAAUUUGAUAUUAAUCUUGUUUGCUUUUGUAGAACCUGUCAUUUUCAAACAUCAAAGGGAGUUUUGACAUUUUUUUUGUUUCUUGUGUUGAAUUGAUACAACUGUCUUCUCUAACCAAUUCUUAUCACAAACUCUCCUUUUCUUUUCAUAUAUAUAAAUAUAUAUAUAUAUAUAUAUAUAUUAGUACAAACAUGUAACAGAACAAGCCUAGACAUAACUUAUACAAAAUCAUGUAACUGAACAUUGGUGAAUUUUCUUAACUUAAUCUAUCAUAUAAUACAAAAACAGCUCAUUUCUUCUUGAUCAAGGGAGAUAGUCAGAAUCACUAAUCAUCAUCACUGCUAUAUGUGACCAAUGAAGACACUGGUCGUUGACUUGGCAUAGAAGCAGUCUUAUUCUGUUCAUCAGCAUCAUCAUCAUCAAGCAAGCUUUUCCAAUCAUAGCUUGGCAGAAUGUCGAAAGCCAUCUGAGUUUCAGCUUCAAACUGCAUUGCUUGCUGAUUAUCAAGAACACUACUUGAAUUCUCUAAUCCCUACAAAAAAACAGGGAAGUCAAAAAACAACACAAAUGAGUGCGUAUAAAGAAUAUGGUUAUGAUGAUGUGAAAGAGAGAUUGGCCAACCUCAGAUCCUCCAGGAUUGUUCAUAGGAGUGGGUAAAGAGUGACUGUGCACAACAUGGUCGACACCGGAAGAAGAAGAGAUCUCACUCGCUUCACCCUUAAACUGUACUUUGCAGAUUGUAUAUGCACCGCUCUGUCAAACCCCAAUUCAGCAUAAUCGAUUUAUAUUAAUAAAAACAGAGCAGUAACGAAAACAGAGCAAUGACGAAAACAGAGGAAUGACGAAAACAGAGUGAUAGCAAAAACAGAGUGAUAACAAAAAGAAAAAGGGGAGUAGAACAUGUACGUCAUUAGGAGAGAGGCAAGAAGCGUGAUACUCGUGCAUAACCCAGUUGGAUCUGGAACCGCUCAUGUAAAACAUCAAAACCCUUUUCUCACCGAUUGUUUCGUGGUUACCUCUCUUUCGCGUGAUGGGCAAGGUAUUACCGGUUUUCUUCCAGUAACCAGACUUGGUUUUCCUCUUCUGUCGCUCACCUCUGUUGUAUCUGCUUUCCUUGCGUCCGAAGAAAUACCAAACCUGAUCACUCGACGCGAUCCUCGACAGCGCUGAGAUAUAACAGUGUUAACAACAAACAAACAAACUGAGAUAUGAGAAAACUAGAACUUAGCUAGACGAUGAGAUCCAAACCUGAUAGAGACAGGACUUACGAGGCAAUUCCCAAGGAUCAAGGUUGCAGAUAUCGACAGUGUUAAUGACUUGAUCGACUUGGCUGCUCGUGGUGGAACCGCCGCCGUUAUUUUUCGGACGGAGGUAAUGUUCCACGAGCUCCACGUCCGUCGGACGAAACCUGAACCCCACCAUAUUAUUCCCCAUUUGGAGCGCUUUGAAUCGUUGGAGAAAGGAAGAAGCUCAAGUCUGUAUUUAUAGGACAACGGGGGAGUUCCGGUCCCACACGUGCCAAUUCUUGCGGGGCAAUAUUAAAAUUCGAAAGACAUAGAGAGUUUAAACAACGCCUUUCUCUUUAAACAAAAAAAUCUCGGUUCGUUGGAUUAUAAAGUGGUUGGUGAGUUUUGGAAACGUACAGUAGUAUUUGUUAGUAUAUUUUAAUCUGUGACUCCCACGUUAACUAGAAACAUUCUCUCACAAACCAAAACACAUAUGGAAAUAGAAUAGAAGAAGGGCAGUGUGGUCCCCACCCACGCUUGGCGAUACUUGCGAGGAAAUAUCAAAAUUUCAGUAGAAUUAAUAAACAAUCAAAGAGAUUUUAACGUUGACCUUUGACACAACGGGGUCACAUGGAUGAUGGCGAACAACGUUUUGAUCGUAAACGUCGUUAAUAUAUGUUUCCAUCCACUAGCCCAAACGAAUAUACUUGAUCGUAAACGUCGCUAACGCAAAGUUUUAAGCACUUUCUACGGAUUAAAGAAAAAGAAAAUAAAGAAAGAGAGUGAACCAAUCCGAGGAAAAAUUCUUAGAACAUUACUUAAAUCCGGUCUCUUAUCUGAAAUUCUUGACUCAAAAUUUGACAUUUUUUUUGCAUUUUUUAACUAAAAAAACAUUUUUUAUAUCUUUUAUUUAACAGACGAUUCUUAAGUUUUUCUUAGUUAAAAACUAAUAACAGUUUUUUAAACAAAGGUUAAAAUUUCAAUUAAAAAAUCGGAUUUAAUCAUGGCUCUAAGAAUUUUUCUCCACACGUUGCUAUCUUAAUACAUUUUUUGCCAUAUGUCUUUAUCUAGAUAAAUUAACUAUUUAAUUUAAAUGAAAACUGAGGUUGCGUUAAUCCAACCCAAAAAAAGAUGUACGUCACUGAGUAUACGUUGCACACGUUUUAUAAGACAAAUCAGAUUAUCCUGUUUGCCUCACAAACAUAAGCUUUUAUGCCCCUAAAGACAUAUUUUAACUCGAGAAUGUAAUAUGACUUUUUUUUCUCAAAAACUUUUAAUCCGAUCUUUUUUUCUUAAUUGGCCCAUACCUUGAGUAAGUGAGGAAUUACCUUUAAAAAAACUAAAUAAAUAUUGUAAAUCUGAAAAUUAGUUGAAACAAAUCUCCAAAACUUAAAAAACUACAAAAAUAAGUGAGGAAUCGCCUUUUAGUUUACUUUUUUUUGGGCUCAACAUCAAAUUUCAUUUCACACCAAUGUAUUGGUACAAAACUUUUAGACCUCAACAGAGAUUCUACCAAAGCUUUUACGUGGUAGAACCUUUUAGUUUACUAAGGCCAUCCGGAUUAAGGGUUUUAAACUCAGGUUCACACGCUUCCCAAAACAAUAAAAGUGAACUCAGGGUCUUGCAGGUUUACGCGUAAGAGACGGGUUCAUAACUAUUUCGUGGGCCCCGUGACGCGUGGCGACCCGCGAUUGGUUGGGCUUUUUACUUUUUUUUUUUUUUAAGAAAUCAAACGUAAAAAAGCACUGGGGGUCAAAGUUUUUAGUGAAUGUGAGAGAAUGUAACCAUGGCUCACUGCUCUACGAGCUUGUUCACGCACUAUCAAGUUAGCCGCUGAACCAAGCAACGUCAAGUUUCCAGCCACUGUGCUCACCCACGCCAGCAACAACCACGCCUUCUUCUCCUCCUCCCCUGCCGCCGCUGAUGCAGCUACUCUUGCUCCCAACAAUAGCACUGCACACACAAUUUAACAACUAAAAUGAAUUUUUCUAUCUAGAGAUAUAAUAAACACACAAAAAAAAACAUGUUUGAUGACACACCUGUUGGUACAUUGGAUGCUACAUUGGAGAGGACAAGAAUCACCACUGCUAGCACCGCGGUUCCUUUAGCUUCACCAAUAUUCGCAUACGGCUCCAUGAGAUCCCACAGAGCCGUAGGGAUCACAGUUUUGUUGAAUCCAUCCACGGUUAUAAACAUCCCACAGAAGAAGAUCAAAAGCGAAUACGACACUUUCUCAAGAGAAGGCCUCGCGUCUUUAAAAUCAAGAACAACAAGAGCUAAAGCCGCGGUGAUCGCAGUCCAAGACAUGUUCAAACCCAUAAGCAGAGAAAUUAACAUCCCAAGCGUGAUUAAAUAAACACUUGACUUCCACAAAACCCGUCUCCACCUCUUGGUUUGAAACAACAACGCAUUGCUGUUGACGGUAGGAUAGCUCUCUCCUUGUGACUCAGCAUCAGCUUGGUGGUCUCUAGACGCACUGCUCUCACCAGAGGAAGCUCCUCUGUUCCUGAGCGUCUCAGGAUCCGUUCUCACGCUAGUUUUUUCCGAUCUGAAAGAGCUUAGAUGAGGUAACGUAGCUGGAGAGAAUCGAUGGGACAUAACAUCUUCUUCUUCAACAGCAACAACACCUUCAGAAACUUCAAUUUCUUCCUCUUCUUUAUGAUCAGACAACAAGCGCCAGUACAUAGCGAGAAGCAUCACAGCAUUAACAGUAAUCCCAACAAUCAUCGCGGGAAACACUCCACGAAGAAACUCCCAGAACGAGAUCUUACUCUGAACCGCGAUAACAAGAUUCUGAGGGUUCCCAAUAGGAGUCGCUGAAGAACCAAUAUUAGCACUCGUGGCCAAAGCGAGGAGAAACGGGUGAGGAGGAAGAUUCUUCUGCCUAGCGAUCUUCAACACGAACUCAGUCAAGACCACACAACAAGUGUCGUUAGUGAAAAGAGCGCUGGAAACAGCGGAGACGAGGCACACGCGGCAGAGCAAGUCCUUGGCUCCUCUGCUUCUCCAAGAGAGCAGCGUGCCCAAGUACUUGAACAUGUCGGCUCUCUCGAGGUAGAUGCUAACGACCAUGGUUCCGAAGAGGAGGCCGAGGAUGGGGAGGUCGAUGGCGGCGUAGGCUUGGUCGGGGGUGAUGACUUGGAAGAUGACCAUGAGCAUGGCGCCGAAGAGGGAGCCGGCGGUUCGACCGAUUGGGAGGAACGGUACGGACGGGAAGACUGCUAGUAUCCAGAAGGUUGCGAAGGCUAUCGAGCCUAGGACCAGCUUCACUACAGGCGCCAUUGCCAUAUGCUAAAACAAUUGCGAUUACGAAACAAUCGUCUCUGCAAUCAAUUUUACGAGUCAAAUUGAUUUUGGGUAGUGAAACAACUUCUUCCGUUGGAAUAAGUUUACAGACAAGUAGAGAAGCUUUGAGAGAGAGAGAUAAACAGAGAGGAACAGGAGUUACCUUUUAUAGUUAAGACAUACUAAAAGAAAGUCAGCUCUUUUCAGUUUGCUUUUGAAACCCAAAAGCUUUUUCUCUCUUGUUGUUGUUGUUGUUGUUGUUCCAGAUCUUCUUGUUCACCAGUUUUCAAGAAGUUAACUAUGAUUUGGCUCGUCUUUUUUUUUUUAAUUAUUCAAUCCACAUGAUGACAACCAAAUCGUCGUGUUAACGAGUCAACUAUCACGACACUGUAAUUAAUUAAUUGAAGAUUUAAAGAGAACGUAUCAACCCCCUAAUAUAAAAGUUACUACUCCUUUUAAAAAAAAAAAUAUUAGUUUUUUGCCCAAUUUUUUUUUUAAUUAAAUUUAACUCGAUGUUGAUUCAAUCAAAAGACAAAAUCUCUUUUCAUUUGUCUGAAAACAAAGUGAUGCUAUUACAGAAGUUCAAAAUGAUUUAUCAAUUGAUCUCAAGAACUAUAUAUAUUGGAAAACAAAGUAAUCAAGUGUUUUUCUAUUCAAUCUACAUAACAUGACAAAAUCGUCGUGUUAACGAGUCAAUUAUCACGAUACUGUAAUUAGUUGAAUAUUUAAAGAGAACCGUAUCAACCCCCUAAUAUAAAGUUCUUUUUCUUUUUUUAAUUAUUGUUUAACUCAUUGUCGAUUCAAUCAAAAUCAUAUUAUUAUUUUUUUACAGAGGUUCUCGGUGAAAAUUCUCUCGUUGCUCCUUUUAAAUUAAAUCAUACAAGAGCCACACUAAUGAACAAAAAUUAACUAGAGAUAAUUUUGACCAGUGAGAAUUGUACGGUGAGACAAGCGUGAUCGGAGAGACUGUAAUCAUCUUCCGGCCACAAUCCUUUCUCUGUUUCUUGCGGAAACAAAACCGCUUUCUUCACUUUCAAUCCAACUGCUUCUUCUUCCUUCUUACUCUCCAUCACCCUCUCUUUGCACUUUCCAGACUGAUCCACCGUCCUCAUGUUCCAAGUUUUCUGACAAUACAUUAACCGCAUACAUCAGAGUCUUCGAACUUAACAUUUUUAUUGGUUUGUGGCUUUCGUUUUACCUUAAGUUUUUCAUAGUCGAAGACACCAUUUCGAGCAAGAUCAGCUCGAACCCAUAGCUCUUUUGUCUCUUGGAAGCUAAGUCCAUGUGGUAUACCCGUUAGAUUUGCCUUUUGAAGUGCUUGGCAGAAUCCUGAGUAAGUUAGUGAAUCACUUUGCUUAUUUCCCCCAAGAAAGGCAAAUGCCUUAUUGUCUUCAGCUAUGGAAGCUUUCUGUAGUUGAUACUGGAAACACCAUCAAGAUAUAUCAAGAAUUAUACAAAAAGUGAUUAACAAUCUUUGUUUGUGAAUAUUUGCAAUCAAUCUCACUCACCUUGAUAAUGCUGAAAACAGCUUCCACCCAACUUGUUCUCAAUGGUUUUCUUGAAUUGCUCCUAGUAGGGUUACAUAGCCAUAUGAAAUCAACUCCGCAUAUGUUACCCCUGUGGUUUCUAUGGCUAACCCACUGAAGAUAUAUAAGAAGAAAAACGGUUAAGGAUAAAAUGGAAAGAAAUGACUUUGGAAAGAAAUGUUAUACCUAGAACAAUUUAGCAAGAACAGUAUCCUUGUACUCCUAAAUCCUAACAAGAGCGGGAAAAUUGUUUAAAUUAACAGCAUGAUAAAAUGGAGAACCUUUACUUACCAUCGCCACGACGGUUUGUUCUAGGCAACUGGAAAAUAUUGUAGCCUGCAGUGGCAAGGCGAUCAUGGUACAUGUUCACCAAUUCUUCAUUUGCAACCCAAACUUCCUAAUGAACAGUCGCAAUUCUCUUUUAACAACAUACAAAAGAGUCAACGUUGACUUUUUAAAGAAUUAUAUUAUAAUCUUAUUACCUGCAGACAGAUCACGGAAGAGCAUUGCUGGAGUAACAACUCUAAUAUAUCCUGGUUCCGAGUAACCAGUACCGGUCCGUAGAAAAUGUGGGCUGCAAGCAAAUCAUAAUUAUAGGCCUGUUAAUUAAAAAUAAAACACACAUAAACUAAUUAUUAUCUAAAGGGCUUCGAACCUCUCACCUUUGAUAAGCAGAAUUUCAAAGUUUACCAACUCCGCUACUGAAAAUUUUAUGCUCAACACGGCCGAAAUUUUACUUAUUAUAAACCGGGCCGGAAGCCUAUGCUUCUCCCGCUUCUACCCAGGGCCGGUACUGAGUAUACCAAAGGUCGCGAGAAUGGCUCUCUCGAUUGCUCUGAUUCUGUACACACAACAAAACCCAUGUCGUCUAGUGAGAAAAUUUCGGAAAAUCAAAAAGACAUGAGGAGGAAGAAGAAGGGAACAAACAAACCAGUUGAUCAAUGCGUUUAUAAAUGGGAGCCAAGAUAUUGAAAGUGGUACACGAUAUACUCGUUGAAGAAGCUAAGCUCGAGUUCAGUCUCUGCACAAUCACAUCGGAUCUCUCACAAGUCGGAACAAUAUAAAAACUAUCAAAAACUUUAGUCACGACUACUGACCAUAACUGAAAGCGCUUUGUUGUGUCUGCCGGUAAAAAAUAUAUAUGAGAGUCGUGAAGGGAUGAUGAUGAAUAUGGACCGUUGAUUGAUGAUGAGCCUCCCUCCUCCUCCUCCUGUGAUGCCUUUCUUUUCGAAUUUACAAGCGGAUGGAUGGUCUCAGAUUUAUAUAUUUUUCUUUUUGGCACGACUGAUUUUUUUUAUCAAAUUUAUUUAAAUUCAUGACUUUUAUGUGAACCGUUUAUUUUUUAUUUAUUAAAAACGUUCUUAAUGUAUACCACAUAUAACACUUCUUUUGUAAGGUCCAUGAAGUUUCAUUCACAAUUGCUACUAAAUUUUCCAUGUAAUUUCGUUCAUCAAUUAGACAAUUACCAUUAAAAUUUUCCAUGUAAUUUCAUUCAUGACUGACUAAGCAAAUUCUUCAAAAAAAAAUUCAAUGAUAGUAGCAAUCUCUUAUAAAUAUGUGUCUAUUGUCGACUUGUGGAAAUAUAUAUAGAAUACAAUGUUUGUGACUUCUCAAUAUUUUUUUUAAUAAACUAGUUUCUUAUGUGUCGUGUUGUCGAUACAAUUGUUAAUUUUAGUGAAUUAAAAAUAAUAUAUUUAAUUGAUAUUAUUAAUUUUUAUUUACUGAUUCAUGUCAAUUCAAUUUUAAUUUAGAUUAUUAACAUGUGUAUAUUUUAAUAUAUAAUAUGAUUUCAUAAAAAAACGAAAAUUUCGCAUAAAACCUUGAUAUUGAAAAAAUUCUUCCUUUUAAAACAUUAUGUUAAGCAACAUAAUGUUAUAUAUUUUCAAGAUUAAAACAUGUUUUCCUUAUUUAAUAUAUUAAGUUAUACAUAAUUUUAUUAUCUAAGGUAACAAAUUAACCUGAAUGCAAAUAAGAAACUACUCAAAAUUUUAUGUGUUUAGAUCAAAAAACAAUUAUAGUUGAAUACAAAUAAUUAUAUGCAGUCUAAUACACCUAAAUAAUAACUAAACUAACUAGAUAUUAUAUAGUUAAAAUUCUCUAUGUAAUUAAUAUAACAAAUAAUUUUAAAACUAAGUCCAUGUCCGGUAAUUUUUAGGGUUGGGUGGGUUCGAGUUGCAGGCUUCAGUCCUAAUUGACAUAUCUACUCUACUUUACUUAGAAAAUAUCUAAUAAAACAGUCAGUUAGUAAACUAACAAAUGAAAAACCCAAAUAUCUUUGGAGAGGAGUAAGAUAUUAAUGAUGAGAAAUGAGAGUCAUGCUUCUUGUCUCAUGUCGGUGACCUUGACCCGGUUCCUACCAAAGCAACUUUUUAUUCUUUAAACAAAACUGCCAUGGGUCAAGUUGCUUAAUCACGUCGUAUAAAAUUUAUGUAUCUUUUUUCUUUUGUCGACGCAUAAAUAAAUAUUAACGUUGGGUUAGAAUCAAUAUUAUUCUUUCUAAAAUAGUUAUUUCUGUUACACACGAAUUAUUGUUGUUGAUAGUUAAACGAUUUAUAUUUGAAAAACUAUAAGCGCUGUUCGUUUCGUCGCCGCAGGUACGGCGGCUGCGGCUGCGGCUAUGAUUUUCCCGUAAGUUUGUUCGUUUCAUUGACGCGGGUACCUGCGGCUGCGGCCGAACGCAGCGUCGCGCGUCAAACGCAGAAAAAAUCAGCGGCCGCGACUUAAAUACCGCGUCUGCUUAACCUAUUUACGGUUUUGCCUUUAACCUAAUUCACUAACUACCAAAAUACCUAGAUCUAAUGGCCGCAGACGCAACCCACUGACGCAGCUCUCUCUCUCUCUCGACCUCGAACCCAACUCUGUCUCGACCUCAAACCCAACUCUCUCUCGACCUCGAACCCCUCUCUCUCUCUCUCUCUCUCUCUCAAUCUCUCUCAGACUCUCUUCUCCGACGCAGCUCGAGCUCGAGCUCUCCAUCUCUCUCGAUCUCGAGCUCUCCAUCUCUCUCUCGAUCUCCGACGCGAGAAACUCAUCUCUUCCAUCUCUCUCGAUCUCCGACGAAACCCAUCUCCAGAGCUCUCUCUCUCUAUCUCCGACGCGAGCUCUGUCUCUUCUCUCAAGCUCACUCUUCUCUCAAGCUCACUCUCUCCAGACCCUCUCAAGCUCACUCUCUGGAGGUAUGAUAAUUGUGAUCAUUAUAUUGCUUGUGUUUGUGUGUUUGCUUACUAGCUUGGAUUACAGUUCUUUGAUUGAUUGGAUACAGUCCAACGGAAGCUUGAUGAUGUUUUGAGUGCUAUUCUGAAGUUUGCGGAGGAUACAUUAAGACCACAAGAAGGCGAGUUUGGAAGAGUGAGUCCUGUUUUGAGGAAUGAUGAUCGGUAUUGGCCUCAUUUCAGAGAUUGUGUUGGAGCACUCGAUGGAACUCAUGUGCCGGUUCGCCCUCCAAGUCAAAAUGCAGAAGCAUAUAAAGGUAGAAAGCAAGAUCCUACAAUGAAUGUUCUUGCUAUAUGUAACUUCGACAUGAAGUUCAUAUACGCAUAUCUCGGUGUACCUGGUAGAGCACAUGAUACGAAGGUCUUGACUCAUUGUGCGAGGAAUGAGGCUUCUUUCCCACAUCCUCCUCCUGGGAAGUAUUAUCUAGUUGACUCGGGAUAUCCAACUAGAACGGGGUAUCUUGGUCCGCAUCGGAGUAUGCGAUAUCAUCUUGGUCAGUUUGCUAGAGGAGGACCACCAGUUAGUGCACGAGAGUUGUUCAACCGAAAGCAUUCAGGAUUGCGAUCGGUGAUUGAGAGGACAUUUGGAGUAUGGAAAGCAAAAUGGAGGAUUUUGGAUCGUAAGCAUCCAAAGUAUGGUCUGGUCAAGUGGAUUAAGCUUGUGACAGCGACGAUGGCGCUACACAACUUCAUACGUGAUUCACAUCGGGAAGAUCAUGAUUUUGUACAAUGGCAAAGCGAUGAUGAUGGAGAAAGAGAAGGAGAAGCAGAAGGAGCUGAUGGUGAUGAAGAAGAAGGAGAAGAAGGUGAUGAUGAUGAUGAUGAUGAUGAUGAUGAUGAUGGUGGUGGUGGUGGUGGUGGUGGUGGACAUAUUGUAUAUGAGCCGACCGGUGAUAGAGCGAUGGAAGCUUUGCGUAAAAGCAUCACAGAUGAAUAUGGUAGAGGUCGUUUACCGUAUUAAAUAUUUUAGUUAAUGACUUUUUUUUUUUGCUUAUAACUUUAAUUAUCAGUUCUAUGAGAUACUUGAAAUAUUUGUUUUAUUUAUUUAAGACUUGAUGUAUUAUUUAACUUUUGUUUAUGAUAAAAAAUUGUUGUUAAAUUUAUUACUAAUUAAAUAUAAUAUUUUAUUUAUUUAAAAUAUUACAAAUUUAAAUCUACAUUUUAUUUAUUUAAAAUAUAAUUUUACAAAUUUAAAUCUACAUUUUAUUUAUUUAAAAUACAAUUGUAUAAAUUCACAAAAUUCAUAAAAUUAAAAUAUGAAAUAAAUGAAAAUUGCGUCUGCGGCAACCAAACGAACAGAACUAAAUCUAUUUUCUGCGUCUGCGGCUGCGGCAAUGUCCUACGUCUUAGAAACGAACAACAAGUUGCGUCUGCGGCUGCGUCUGCUGCUGCAAAACGAACAACAACCAAAGGAAUAGACGCAGCCGCAGGAAUCUGCGUCAAUGAAACGAACAGCACUAUAAUAGUAAAGCUCAUGACCAAUCAUAGUGCAAAAACACCAAUUUAGCAGUUAAACAUCAUUGGGCUAUAGCCCAGCACUCCUAUUGAAGAGCCGGUCUUGACAAGCAUGCUGUUUGGUUUAGUCGGAUACAGAGGAAGAAGACAACAGAUAACUUGACAAUUUAAAGCAAAAACUCAGAGACAAAGAGGAUGUAAAUGAUUCGAACAUAAAGCCGGAAACAAGAAAAAAAAAAAGAACAAAAAGUCUUCUCUGUUUAGUUGGAUCACAAUAAAACAGAGCUCUUAAAGUGGCUUUCCACUUAUCUUGAUGUCACUUCUGAUUGCUCCUUGGAUCAUCUUAACGACAAAGUACUACCAAAAAAAAAAAAAAAGUUUAUUUAGCAAAGUUAGACAAGACAGUAAAAUCGAAUUGGUGUCUAUAAAGUGGAUGAAGUGUGUUCUUUUUACCUGAGCGGCGAUGAUGAGAGGGAUGAGUUUCUUUCCUUUAUCAUCAGAGUAAGAUCCAUCCACCAUCUUCUUGUCUACAUGAAUCGCUUUCUUCUGAUUCGUUGCUACAUCCGUUAUCGCCUUAACCAAGUUCGGGAUCCACGCUUCACCAUUCGGUAAUGCCUAAACCAAGAGAGAGAGUGAUCACAUCAGCGAUUUUUUUAACACUCUCCAAAUCAGUACAAGUCAGAGUUUAAACAAACCUUUUCUUCCUUGUCAUUCUUGCUGCAUCUCCCACUGUUCUCCGCAUACACAACCUCAAUUGCAGAGUCCUACAAGCAAGUAGAAGCAUUAUAACUGAUUCUUUUCCCAAACAUGGUAAUAAUACUGUAAAGCCAUAAUACCUCAAACUGUUGUUUCCCCAUCUUGGAACCAGCGCGGAUGGUUUUGAGGAGAGAAUCUGAUCUCUUGGAGGAAAAUGUUUCAUAGGAAAGAUCAUCAGGCGGGGAGAAUUGAGCAUGAGUCAGAACAAGCAACGUUUUGCACCAAAUCUCUUUUCCAAAGGUUUGGGUGAUAGCUUGAACAACUUGCUUAUCUAGCUCAUCCACUCGAUACACAUCCAGACGAUCAACAUAGAGCAACACAUCUAUGGUUCUGUUCACAAGAAACCUGCCCCCAAAAUUCCGACAAGGUAAGCCCCAACACACAAAAUCCAACUUGAAUACUUCAGUUGAGCAAAACAGUUAAGCAAAUUCACAAUUUAAUCACAAAGGAAUGACAUGAGCUCAUAUGAAACAUGGAGUUAUAAUCACAUAAACAUGGAGUUAACCAAAAAAAAGCCAAUAAAUGACUGACCCUUUGAUUAACUCGAGGGCUUGGUGGUUGACAUAACCAGCUUCGACAAGGCCAGGGGUGUCAAUAAUGUUAAUAGUGAAGCCUCCCAUUGUUCUUGAAACCAUCACUGGCCUCAAACCCUCUGCCUGAAGAUUUGAAAAAUGACUACACUUUCUUAAUCCCAGCUUCAAUUAUUGCAAAUUGCAAAUUCAAUUGAGGCUUGCAUACCUGGAAAGGACUGACACGGACGACUUGUUCACCAAUAAGAGAGUUGACAGUGGAUGAUUUUCCCACACCGCCUUUGCCCAUUACAACAACUGUCAAUGAGUUCAUAUCCUGCAAAAUUACACAACCCUUGAGAGUAUCACAAACAGUGCAAAGAAACAUAAAACAAGUUUUUUUUUUAGAAAAGAAGAAACCUUUUGCUUCAAUUUGGCGAAGAAUUCAAUUAACUUUUCCUGGGUAGCUGCUGGAAAUUGCUGAAACCCAACCCAUUCGCGAACAAUGGACCCCAUCACUCCAGAACCAAAACAAAACAAAAGGUUAAAGCUUUAUAUAUAGCGCUAAAGCUUAGAGAUUACGAAAUCGAAUAAACGUUGAAAGAGAUAAUCUUUAAAAGACUCGAAGGAAGGUACCGUUGUGUGAGGUUUAGGAGAAAGAAGCCGAAAGCGUUCUGGAGAGAGAACAAACAAUGUCCAUGUGACCUGACCUUAUCGGAAUUUACUUAGUGGAUUUUAUUUAACUUCACUCCUCUAUUCUUCCAUUAUUUAUUUAACGGCCGCAUAACUUUACAAAAUAAACAAAUGGACCCCAUCACUCCAAAACGAAAACAAACCGUUAUAACGAAUUUUAAGUUUAAAUAUUAAACAAUCUCGUCUCUCUCUCGCGACUUUUAGAGCAGGAUUAUCGGGGAGGGGGAAGGGGUUUUCAGUGUGGUUUUUAGGUUGGGGGGCACAAAAAGGGGAAAAACCGGCCACAGGAAAGCCGAAAUAAGAAUCGAUGUUAGGUGAGUUUUUGGACUGUUUGCGGGUCCCACUGACAUGUGACGGCCCGCAAUUAGUUGGUCUUUAUUUAUUUAUUUUUUUUUUACUCAGACAAAAAAAAUAAAAAAAUAAAAAAAUAAAAAAUAAAAAACCUCAUGUGGGGUUUCAGCGUUAAUGAUGACCUUACAUCCUGUUUAAUAUAAAAGUUUCUCUCUCUCGUCUCACUACACUAGUUUCUUUUUUUUUUGAUAAUCCAGGGGUUCCCCGCUUCGCGGGUCAUUCCCCUGGGUCCGGUCAGGCAGCAGUCUAUUUUAUCCGGGAAGGCUUUACCUGGGUUGUAUCGAAUCCAGUACCAUUUUGGUGUCUAGAAGAGGCAGGGUAGUUUCCGCAUGGGGGAAAUCGAAUCCGGAUGGUGGUUACCACCACAGGCCCGUCCUGCCAGUUGGACUAGCUCGUCCGGACUACACUAGUUUCUUGGACAUCUUCUUCAACAACACAUCGAUGGAUAAAGAUAAAGGGAAUUCAAAUUCAGGUGACGACUCUAGAUUGAUUCGCUUUUGUCUCAAGAAUUUCUCUAAAAUAUUUUUCUUUUUUAUUUAGGCAACUAUCCGUGGUGGAAGAACAGGGCAUUAGCGAGCCCUUGGAAGUUUCCUUGCGUCCAAAGUAUCUAGGUUUGGGUUAUGGUUCGACGUCUUCACCUAAACCGAACGUUGUUGUAAGUUUCUUGAUCUUGGUUUAGUUUCUUGUAAGAUUAUUCUCUGAGAUUUGUGCUGUGUUGAUCAGACUCUGAAACAGAAAGAUAAAAACAACGACGCUGAACCCGACAAGAAGGAAGCUGAUGAUGACGUGGAAGAACAAGUUCGAAGAUUCAAGGACGAGGUUGCAGCACUGCCACCACCACCAGCAGCUCGAACCAACACGACUGAAGUGACUGCCCGGAAGAAGAGAAAAGCUGCUACUCCCGUCAACUUGAUCGUUAAAGCUAAGAGAAAGAAGGUUCCAGUAACGUUAGUGCCAUACAGCGACGAUGAUGAGAGUGAUGAUUAGGAUGCGUUUGCGAGAAGUUUCAGGUGCCCAUUUUUUUAAAUCCUUUUUAGCUAGGUACGUGGUACAUGUACAUAUCUCUCAAUAGGAAAACUAAGGAACGAGUGGUGAUUUGGUUCGUGAGAGGUUGAGUAUGUUUUAUGAAACCAUGAUUUGGAUCUUUCGUCAGUCUUUAUUUAGCAUUUGUAUGCGAGUUAGAGAUGAAGGGAAAGAGUUGAUAAACUUUUAGCAUUAAGGUGGAGUUAACCAAUACAAAGAGACAUGUUUUGCUUAUUGUCUACAAAGAGACAUGCUUUGCUUCUUAGUCUUGCACAGCACCGGAGGUGAACUGAGGCCAUGUAAGUAAGUCCUUCAUGGUAACAGAAACGAAACGUAGAAGUAAAGUGCUUCUCUAUAAAACUUUAGAUCACAUCAUAGACUCUCUUGAAAAAACUUGUUCCGUUCCUCUAAAAACGUAUUAGUAAAGUGCAUGCUCUAUCACUUCGUUUAGUGCCUCUUAGCCACAGAUUGCAAGAGCUUGUUCCUGUAUAAACAUGCAACCUGGGAUCUGUUGAGAUUAUCGUCUUCCAUCUUCCUGUGAAGUUGUUUAGCCAUUCUUCUGUUGAUUGCUUAUACAACAUGACACUAUCUGGUUAAGUUGCUGUUCUUCUGCCUGCCUGCCGUGUUGCUCCAAAACUUUAAUAACAUAUCUGAGUCAUGAACCACUUUUGUAUAUCAUCAACAAAAUCCUAAGUCCAGGAUGUUUAAUGAAUACAACUUUUACCUCAUAUGGAACUCUCAAGUGAUUAUUUAUGAAAGAAAUAUCAAAAUCUUUUCACCACUUGUCCUUGUUCAGAUCAAGAUUGUGAUUUUAACUGCAGCAAUUGGAGUUUAAGAAAGAUCAAAACUUUAUGGAACACAAGAGUAGAAGACAAAAACAAAAACGAAAACAAAAAUUGAGUUUAGAUGAAAACAGAAUGACAGUUUCCCCAAUGUCUUGCAUCAUCAAAGUCUAGUGUUAUGGCAGGGCUUGUGUUCCAACUUACUUACCGGAAGAUGAUGUCCACUGAGUCAAAGUUGUGAAGCUAUCUCCAGGCAAAGCGCACAGAGGCAUCACUCAAUGUUCGGACAAAUAGUGUAACUAAUCACAGAAACAGAAGUCAGCAACAUGUUGCAAAUAUUAUUAUUCUAUGUUAUCUUCAUACACUUUGACUCAAAGAUUAAAAGCUUUCUGACUGAAUUCCAAAUUCUAUAAAAUCACACAAACAUAAGAUACUAAGUUAUAAAAAAAAAAGUUUUAAAAAAAAAAAAAAAAACAAAAGGCUUGAAAACAUAUUCAGACAUAGAGAGAAUCCGCAAAUAACAAGUUAAGGCCAAUAUAUGAUGAGUCUGAGAGGACAGCACCGGACCACUCAAUGUUCCCCCAAACCUCCCAUACCUCCUCCUCCUCCUCGCCUUCCUUGCGUCUUGUCAUUUUGAGGGUAAUCUCGGCAUACCAAAGCUCCAAAAUCUGAUCAGGACCUUGGGCUUCCCAGAAGAUGGCCAUCCUCUGGACAGAGAAGGCGCAUAGUUUGAUAAUGUGUUGCUGCUGCAGCUCUUCCAAACCCUUGACUUCCUUCCAACCAAACUCACGCGGCAAACGCCACAGUAUUCUCCCGCCGAUACCACGGCAGAAAAACGUCUGAUCAAACAAACGCCAAUCGUUUCUAUCAUCCGGGUUAGACUCUCUUUCUCCCUCUGCACAAAACGUACUUUCGCUUGUCGAGAAAACAAAGAUUUCACCAUCCUCGUCCACCGCGUAGACAUGCUUCUCGUCCAUCACCAUACUUUCUUUGGGCAUCUUGGGGGUAGACACAGACAACAAUUCCCACGUUCCGGUUUCGAUAUCAUAUACCUCAACCCAGUUCGAGGAAUCAGCCACAUCCCAGCACCCUCCAAACACGUAUAUCUUCUUAUUCUCCCCGUCCUCUAUCAAACUUGCCGAUGCUCCGCUUCGAGCCAUCUUCAUAGGCGUGAUGCGGUACACUGUGUGCUCGAUACAAUUCAGAAACGUGACUUCCGAUGUUGGUUUGCCGUUGAUGAGUCCACCGAUAGUAUAGAUCCCCAAAUCCGUCUUCACAAAACAUGAUCCUGUUACCGGAUACAAGUUCAAAUUGACUCGUUUCAGCCGACGUUGCAUGGGGUGGAGGACGAACCAACAUGGGCUUGGAUCGGGAUACAUGUGCAUAAAUACGUACAAGUAUGGGUCCACGUUACCCAUCCGAUACCUCACGGCCCAGAAUCUACUCGACACUGCGUAAAACCGGUGUCUCCUAGAGACCAUAGCUAAGGCCACGAGGUCCAAUCUCGACACCUGGGCCAGGCAGUCCACAAACACAUCAUCUGGCAGCGACCACAGCCCACACACCUUCGUCUCAUUCUUCCUCGUCUUCAAUGCCAAUUGACUACAUCCACAUCUUCCUUUCAUUGAUUUGAUUACCGCGCUAGGCUUUCUAUGAGAGAGGAUCCAGACACAAACCUGAUUAGAACCACGCCUGAUUGUGUCUUCAAUUUAUUUUUAUAUUUAUAUAUACCAUUGUCGUCUGAGAAAAAAGGAAAGAACAUUGAAUCUUUGGAAUGAAUGGAUGAACCAAGCGGUUUAGGACGGUUCAGUUACAAAAUCUAAUUUCAAAACCAAAAUUAACUAUUCUUAUUCACAAUAGAUAUGCGUUUCAUUAUUUAAAUGUUACAUGAAAAUAAGUUCAUGAUAUAUUUCAUAAUUGAAACCCUCCUAUAUAGGAGUAGUAUUUAUGUGCGUUUCCGCAUUUACUUUUUCUUUUCUUUUAAGAAAUUUUAAAUUUGGUUGUUUGAUUCAAUAUCAUUUUCAUAAUGUUAUUCAUAAAUACAUUUUAUUGAUAUUUUAGAAUUAUUCAUAAAUAAUCAAAAUUGAAUUUAGUGUCGAACAUAUUAAGAUAUACAUAUUAGUGUCUUUGUGUAUGUGUAUAUACUUGCAUGAGUGUUACCUUUAAAAACGUCUUCAUUAAUAGGAGCCAGCUGGAGAUAUCUGAUUAGAGGAAUGUAAUCACCUUCGUCGAAACCCCACAUCCUGGAGACGUUCAUUACCAUGGCGGAGGCUUGCCGGAAUGCCGUCGUGACGGUGGCUCUUCCUUUAGACGCCAUAUCAGCCGCAGUCAAACUUUUACCCGGUCAAGUAUCAUCAAGUCUCUCUUAUCUCCUCAUCACACGGUUACGCUAUCUUUUGCGGAAUCAUUCAAACAUGAUUUGAUCAGUUGCAGCUUGUCUGCAUUCAGGGGCGUCCCUGAAAUGUUGUGUGCCAUAAACAUUUUAGUAAGAUUUUAACAAAAACUUUUUUUUAUAAAUUUGGAGGUUUUUUCAAUGUAAAUUUUUUUAACAAAAAUUGGGGAUUCUAGUACAAUAUUUCACUUCGGGACCACCCUUGUCUGCAUUUCCCUGAAUCAGCAGUAUCAGUAUUAGUACUAGACCGUUUAGGUCCUUCCCUAUCAGCUUGAGGUCCUCUAUCUUUGUAUAAAUCGGUAUUUUGCAUGUUUUAAAAAGUUUAUACUGAAUCAAUACAAGAAUCCACACGCCUACAAAUAGAAAAGAGAAGACGGAUUUAUGAACAAAACCUUUUCUAAGCUUUUCAGCAUUAUCUUUUCCACGUUGGAAAUAAUCCGCACUAUAACUAGAAAGAAUGUUAAACUCUGAUUUCGGCCGACCCAUAAGCCUGUUCUCUUGCAGAAGCUUCUUGGCAGCUUCAAUGUUCUUCAGCUUGUAUCUACAUCAUCCAUCCGAAGAAACCAUUAAUCAUUACAAUACUGAAAACACUUGUCUUCAAUGAUCAAUCUAUGAGAAAGGUAUUCAUAUUCGAUGGGAGUUGCAUUUGUGCUAUUCCGGUAGUACACUACUCCACUGUGUUGAGCUCUUUUCUGAGCUACGCUUCUUAACCUGAGAAAGUUUUUGGAGACCGAUUCUAAUUCUUUCUACAUUUUUACAUUAAGUUCCUAGAAGCAAAUGAACUUUAAGAUGAUCAGGUAUCUUAUAUAACUCAUCUUCCACUCGUUUCAAUUCGUUUCAACUUCCACAAGACUUUUUUCUGUUUUCUUCACCAGUUCUUAUUCAAUAUACUUUUAAGAACUGGUGAAUAAAACGAAAGGAAUUGUUGUCAUGGGCCUUAGUAGUUAGCCCUUUAUACAUUUUCAGGCCCAUCUUAGGUUUUAAUGGUCCAAUCCCAAACCUAAACCUCGUAAAAUCAUAGCUAAACUAAACCUUAUAAUUAUUAAGGGAGUGAAGGGUAAAUAUUAAUAUUAUGAAUCACAAACUUAAUCAUUAAAAGUACUCAUAAAUCAUGAUUUAUCUAUCGGAUGAUUUAUUUAUUUAAUUUUGAUGUAUAAAAAGAUAAAUUAUCUUUUGCAAACCAAUAUAAAUCAGAUAAUUACAGUAAUAGAUUAUUUUUAGUUACCAUAGCAUUAAUGAAAAAUCUUGAUAGGUUUCUCAUCAUAAACGUGACGAUAUUAUCAUUUAAAUUAUUUCUUCGUAGCAAGCCUUUCCUUAAUCUUAUCAACCAUCUUAGACUCCACCUGAAAAGUCUUUGUCAACACAUCUUCCGACAAAGCAGGUUCCGCCGUAAAAAGCGUCGCUGCAACAGAAACCGCUCCUGGUAGCUGACUAUUAAACACCGACAAAAUCGAUGCUGGAGAUCUGCCAUUAUUUUUUCUGAAAAUGCACAAGCCCUCUUGGCAAAACAAAAACUUCACCAAUCUUAAUGGUUUUUGAGAAAAGCUUGUUUGCCGUCGUGAUAAACCCAACUUCAACUAAAAAUAAAAAAUAAAAAAUAAACCCAACUUCGAGGACGUAAACGACUUCAGUGGCGCGUGGGUGAGUAUGAGGUGUUCCAAGUGUUUAGCCCUGGGAUCUUCUCCACGUUGGCUCCAGUAACGGCGGUGGUGGAGUUUAAUUUAUGACUGCGGGUUUUGAAAUUCCGGCAAAGAAGAAGUCGGACGACGUGAUAUUUGACGUUUCUUUGCAUGGAGAUCCAUUCAAUUUGUUCCUGUGAUGCGCACAUUGUGCCAUUUAUCAUGUAUCACAAGGCAUAUUUGUUUAUGAUGUAAUUAUUCAUCAUUCACUAAAUCCCUGAUUUUAAUAUAUUGUCAUUAAAUAUGUAAUUGACUUAGAACCUUGUUGAUUCAGUCAUCCUUACGAACUCAACUGUAUUUUGAUAUGAAAUCUACUCGGGUCCCUAUUUAUGAAUUACUUGUUCUUCCUAAACGAUACGAGUUUUCAAUUAUGUUAGUUUAUUUUCGAUAUACCAUAGAAAUGUCACAGAAAUAUAUCGAGAGAUUUCAAAGUUGGACAAAGUAUUUAAAACAGUAUGAUAAAUUAAAUAUCUUAAUAGAAGUUAGUAAUAUAAGAUAACAUAAACCACAGGGAUCGUAUAAUGUUAAUAUAAUGUAAUAUAAGAGUUUUAAAUUAUGUUAGUUUAUCAGCAACGCAGAGAUCUUGAAGAGCAUCGGGAUCGUAUGCAUGAAUCGAACCGAUAAUAUAAGAUAACACGAUGGUAAUGAAUAUUCUUGAAUUCAUCAAGGCUAAAAAUGUGACGAAAUUACUACUGUUUAGUUUGAGAAAAGAAGCUCCAGGUUCUUGAUAAUAAGGGAUAACUGGAUCAUCUUUUUGGUAUUUAUAGAACUUAAUUAGACCAGUCCUGUUGAUUGACAAGUCAUUGCUUGAGAAAAACAAAACAAUUCAUUUGUCUUUACCAAAAUAUGAAAUGUACAUCAAAGCUAAGUAGGUAAAAAACUAUAGCUUUCUAAAAAAAAAAAAACUAUAGCUUUCUGACAUGUCUUUCACUACAACCAAUUCUAAUUUUAAACGACACGAAAUUUAUUUACGUAUAUUUAUUUUUUAACUAAUAGAAGUAAAAAAUAAAAUUUUAUAUUUUACAUUUUAGAAUAAAUCCCACAUUGGCAUAUUGUCCUAUUUUACAAUCUCUGUUUUUUCCUCUAAUCAACGACAUUUCAUAAACUUUUCUCUAACAGUUUACAUAUAUUAUAGUCUACCUCCCAUCGUAUUAGAAGAGAAAUCAAAGAAAGUUGGGAAACAACGAACCAAACCACAAAGACAUUGAGGAGAAGAAGCUGGUGGAGGAAAGAGAGAUUGGUUAGAUGAGUGUGGGAAUGAAAGAUUACUAAACGGUGGUGACGGCCAAUUUGACGCCGCGAUUAACGGUGAAAGGGUUGUUUGUUUGGCCGGGUUUAGGCCGUGAGCAAUACCCAUCGCCGUCAAAAGGUGGUUGUGCAUUCCAAAGUCUAAUGUCGCCUGAGGAAUAUAUGGAUUUGUUCCCAUUAUUGACAUCACCUGCAAUUACAACAUUAUUUUACAAAUUAGUUUUUUUUAGAAAGGGUUUUAUUUUAUAAAUUAUUUUCUGAUGUCUAUAUAAAAUACAUAUAUUAGCAGCAAUGAGCAGCUCUAUAUAUAUGAUAAUCUUAUGUUUAUACAUACAAAACAAAGAAAUUCAACAAUUAAUCAUAACUAUAUAUUAUUCCCUAUUUCUCUAUUGAAUUUUGUUGAUAUCAGAAAAUGCUCUCAAUUUAUAUAAAUAAAAAAUCUAUAUGUUAAUUAUACACUCUUCAAAAUUAUUUGUAUUUUGAACAAUGAACAUAAAAUAUGUUUUAACUUGAAACAAACACAAUAUAUGUGAUAUAAGAAAACUACAAUAUACUAAUUUAAAAAUAAUCGUGUAGACUGUAGAUCAUUAAAACGUUAUAUCAUCUAAUCGACCAUCUAAAAUGUGUAAUUAAUUGACCGUCUUAUUCUUUUUGACACCCAACUAUGUUUAGAACAACCAGCAACUAUAUGUAGAGAUAUAGGUACUAUAUAUAAACAUACAUAUACUAAAUAAAAUUAUAAUAUGGACCUGGAGUUGAAGUUGAAGAUUUUUCAUAUACUCAAUGGUCUUAUCGAGAACCGAAACCUUAUCCGUCUGAAAAUCGAAAAAAAAACACUGCCGGUCAUUAGAAACCGGAACUUUAAGGCAAGAUUGCUUAAUAUAUGGAACUAUACAUGUAUUACAAAGUGUAUUAUUAUAGAGAGAGUAAGAGAUAGCGAGGGAAUAAUAUAUUAAAAUAUACCAACCUUGUGACAGUUAGGAACAAGCUGCUGCAGAGUACGCAUCUUGUUACUCAUCAUAUCAUCUCUUAUUCUUCUCUUGGAACUUUUUCUUGUCACUAAAGGAACCUUUCUUGAAAAAUCCUCUGAUUCAUCCUACACAGAAAUCCGCAGAGGCAAAAGAAGUUAAAACAAAAAGGUCAAAAUGAAGAAUAUACAAAGACAUCAAGGUCUCAGGUUACAAUUACAUAUAUCAAAUAUAUGUCGACUUACAUCACUUAAAAUCUGAACACGACGCCGUUUCGGCUUUGCAUGCUUGUUCCUCAAAAAACGUCGAUUAUAUUCUGAAUAAUCUUUGAUAUGAAGAUGAUGAUCACCGGUUUCAGAAUGUUCAUCAGGGACAACCAACGUCAAAUCUUUCUCGGAGUUUUCUUCUUCUUUACGAUUCUCUGGAACAAUUUGAAGAUGAAAAUUUGCUUGAUGAUAAUAAAAGUAGUCGUCGCUCCAUUUUAAACCGUUGGUUAUACGAUCUUCAUCACUUCUUGCUCUUACUGAUAUAUCUUGAUCUUUCAAAGCAAGCGAUUCGACAUCGUUUGUCCAUUCCAGUCCCAUGAAAUCUUGAUUAUUCAACCUGAAAUAAUAGUAAAUUAUUAGGGUUUACGAGAUUAAUUAAUGAAAAAGAAAAAGGAUCACUACUGAACUGUAAGACAAGAAACCUAAACUAUGAACUCUGCCUUUUUAAGUAUACGUACAUGUUAACAAACCAAAGAGAUAUCGGAGAUAAGAGGAUUUGAGAAAAUUAUUCUUUGGCGGAGGGGGCUCAAGAUUUGUCCGAGAAAAUGGAAUCCCAUUUCAUUUUAUAUAAGAACAUUCGGUGUCAGCAAAUUUAGUGGCCCACUAGUAUUACGCCACGUUUCUUACUAUGAAUGGUUCUUUUGGUUUUCUAUAGAAAAUGAUUUUUGACGUACACUGACAAUAAUACAACAAUCCGACUAGAUUCUUUAAUACCUAAAGGAGUGAGGACAGGAGGUUAAAGUUUUUUUUUUUUUUUGAAAAAGCAGGAGGUUAAAGUUAUGACAUUUAAUUUGCCUAAUAUGAAUUGCUUUUAAACAUUAAACUCGGUCUUUUAAACAUUAAACAUUAAACUCAAACGAUGAACACAUCUUUCUCUAUCUUAUCGAAGUAGAAGUACCUAAAAAUUUUGUUUGGUAACUUUGAUAGUAGUAAAAAAAAACUAAUACUAUUUGGAAACAUGGAUAGCUUAAUAAGAUAAAUUUAUUAUUUCAUGCUUAAAACUUUUAGUUUACACUAAAUGGGUUUUUAAUUCUCUUAUAUCUUUGACCCGUUUUUGUGUUGGUCCACCAAUGAUAAUCAAAUAAUGCUCUUUGACAUACAUAUAAAGCGUUUUAUUCCGUAUCAAACCAAAUCAUAGAAACCAAAACUGAAAUAUUUCUUAACAAUAAUAUUUUUUAACAGUACCAUUCUAUGGAAUUCCUGUUACACAAUACAGUAAAAAAAUACAUAGUUUAAACAUAUUAACAAAAGUAGUCAAACUAGAACCGUUAACUUUUCAUUUUUUAAAGUUUGUAUAUACUGUAAAAUAUGCAUUCGCGCAAUCGCGCGGAUCAAGAUAUAGUUGAUAUUAAAGUGUUGAUUAACUUCUUUUAUUUUGUGUGCAACUACUGUUGAUUAACUAAAUUAUUUUUUUAAAAAAAUCUAAAGGUCUACAUGCACACAACUCAAUCUCGAUGUAUAUAUGCAUGCAUUGAUGAAUAUAAGACACACCUAGAACUGUAAUGCACAAACGUGCAGGACCAUUUUAUACUUCUCGUUGCUUGUCGUCGUUAUACUUUAUCUUUGCGUUAAAAAAAAAAAAUCAAAUAUCAGAUAUUCAAUCGGCUCAAAGUAUAGCGAAAAAUAAAAUGAUUGAUGGUCUCUGGAUAUGUAAAACAGUGGACCAACUACAACCACAAGUAUCACAUAAUCGAUUUUUUUGUUGUUUCCGCGCAAGGAUAGACGUAAUACUUUUUAUGUUUCAUUAUAAGUGUCACUUUGAUAUUUUUCAUAAAUUAAAAAAAAAUUGUAUAAUAGAUUAAUAUAUUCUUAUUUAAUAUAUGAUUAAUUAAAUAAUAAUGAUUUAAAUAAAAAUCUAUUGGUUAUUCAAAAGAGUAAAAAGUAUAUUUAAUAUAUAAAUUUACAUUAGAAUUGUAGAAUAACACUUAUUUUGAAACAAAAUAAAAAAUCUAAAGUGACAAUUAUUAUGAAACAUAAGGAGUAAAUCAUAAGUUAUUUUAUCAAAUGAAAAUUCGCUGAUUAUUUAGGUGCUAAACGGUCCCUGGAAAAAGUUCGAACCAAAACUAUUCGUCAUAAAAGAUGACGAGAGAAUAAUUAACUAAAAUACUUGUAUAAAUUAAUUAACUGAUGGAUCUAUAUUAUUCUAUGUAUGUAUUUGUGGUAUAAGUGUUUAUGAUAUUUCAGUAUAAUAAGAAAUUUUUUAUUAUAAAAACCCGUUUCUUAACUUUUAACUAAAAAAAUAAGAACCGGUUCUUAAACAAAAUAUUUAAGAACCGAUUCUUAGUUUUUUUAGUUAAAAGUUAAGAGACGGAUUCUUAUAUUCCGGUAAGAACUCUACCAUAAGAACCCUACCAUAAGAACCCCCGUUAACGAUGCUGGUGUCCCAAAAAAAAUAAAAUAAAAAUAAUUCAAUAUCAUCGGACAUUGCAAAGUUAUGAUACUAGGGCGCUUAUUCUCCCAAACACUAAUGUUCGAUUAUUUCAGCUAAUAAUAGAUUCAGAGGCGUGCUUACAGUUAUUGAAAAAGACAUUCGCCUUAGGUCCCCGAAUAAUAUUACUUUUUUUAGGGUCUCAAAAUUUAAAAUAAUUUCUAGUUUAGUUGCUUAAACUUAUUUUCUAAAAAAAAAUUUCCACGAGAAUCGAUUAAUUCACUUUCUGAAUCUAUGUAUUUUUUUAUAUGACAUAAUAUAACAUAUUUACGUAAUAAAUUUAUUUUUGUAAGUGUUAAAUUUGUGUAUUUGCCGAAAAUGAUAUAUCGUAUUAAAAAAAUAUUUCCAUUAUAAUUGUAUAUAAAUUUAUUUUUAAAAUUUGUUUUAGGCCCCUAAAACUAUUCUCAGGGCACUGAAUAGAUUUCAUAACUAUGAUAGAGGAAAAGCAAAAAUAAACAAUAGUUUUAGGGUUUUAUCCAGAAACCCACGUGGGUUGUGGCCCUAGAUCUAUAUACUACUAUAACGAAUAGUGUGUUUCUUGUCUUCAGUAACCCCACGACACAUUUAUUGGAAUUUUAUUGUCACGUCACCAUCACCCAUACACCGAGCAGGUGCGAUGGUCCAGGUUAUUAUUGAUGCCUAGUAAAAUAUGUACUUCAAAACCAUCGCUCUCUAUGGGAUAAGUUUUUAGUGAAAUUUGUUGCUGAAAAACGAUAAAAAGUCCAGUACUUAGAAAAUAUUUUCUCCAACAGAAAUCAUAAUAAAACUACUCUAUAUCAAACCAACAAGAUUUUUUUUGUAUGGGGGUAAGUGAGUGAAUGAAUUAUUGAAGCAAAAUACUAUUGUUAUGUUUAAAGAAUGUUAGAUAAGUAUUUAUGUACCUCGCUUUGAAUCAAAUGGGCCUGAAAACCCUAAAGGAGAGGAAGAAAAUGCGUGUCGUUCACGUGAAACCUCGUGAUGGACAUGCUUGUAUGUCUGACACUCAGUGCUUUCAGUUUUGUUGGUGUCUUAGCGAACGACGUACGAAGCAAAACCUCAGCCACUCCAUCGCUUCCAUCUCCUAAAAAAGACAACGACCUUUCGGAGUAUAAGUUCUAAUCUACAGUACACAGUUCAAAUAAUUGAAAAUUGGAAAAGGUUUGCAUUAUCCUUAUCAAUAUUCUAAAAUAUAUUUUCUCCCGUCAUUUAUCUUGGGACCGAAACAUGAAAUUCUUUUAGUUUUGUAUGUAAUCGACCUAAUGAUCGAUAUUUCAACACCAGCACACCAUCCUUUUCUUUUUUAAAAACACAAUACCAUAGCUAAAAAUCUAAGUCCUUUUAACACAAAAACCAGAUGAAAUCAUUAUACAAGAGCAUGAUUAAUAGGAUAGACUCUAAGGGAAUUUUUAGACCAUGAUUUGACUUUUUUUUUUAAUAAACGUAUUUUAUAUCUCUUAUUUAUGAUACAUUUUUUAGUGUUUCUUAGUUAAAAACUAUUUUUUAAUUUCUAAUUACACUAAGAUACCUUCCCUAAGAGACCCAUUGAUCAUGGUUUAAGUACAUAUGAACAUGAAGACAUACAUCGUGUAAGUGUAACUAAUUCUCAUCGUAUUUUUUUUGUUAAAUAUGUAAUUGUAAGCAGUAUGUAUAUGAGUAUAUUAUAUAAAAAUGGCUUUGUAUAAUCCUCUAUACAUUAAUUGAGGAUUUUUUAAAAAGUUAUAACCUAAAUUUUGUAAAAAUUAAAAAAAAACCCUAUCCUAUGUGGUACUUGGUAUGCCUUCUAAAUCUUAUUUCAAAGAAUUCUAGAGCACCUUAGAUAAACUAUAGUCUAAAAAAUUAUACUCUCUAGCAAAAUAAUAUUUCGCAGGCUAUAGUUGGUCGCAUAUAUCAAAUAUUUAUUGUUUCGCAUGUUUUCCUUAAAUAAAACCUACGGAAUUACCUAAUGUGAUUAAAAUAUAUAUAUAGCAAUUAAUGAUUUCAAAUAAUAAAUUUUUGAUAACAAUCUCUAUACUUUUUAUCAUUUUUUUUUUAUUUAUUUAUUAUUAAAAUAAAUUACAUAAUUACAUUAAUCAUAUAAUAAAAAUCUAGAUUUUUUUUGUAUAUAUUGUAUUUUGAAUUUUUCAAAACGAGUAUAAAUUACUAAAAUUAUUAAAAGUCUCAGAUAAACUUUUAUGAUCAAGGUUUAAAUUUUUUCUAUAUUAAGAUACAAUGAUUAUAAGACCAUAUGAAUAAAUAAUCUUAUUUAAAUAGGUUUUUAUGUUUAUAUAUAUAUAUAUAUAUAUCAUAUCGUUUAAAUUAAACUAUACAUCGUAUGAAAAUGUUACUUAUAUUUUGAUAUUUGCAUUGAACAUAUAUUGAAAAGUUAAUAUUUUAAUUUUGAAACCUUCAUUGUUUUUUAAAUGAUUAUAAAUUAUUAAAAUUAUUCCACAUUAAAAAAGUCGUUGGUGUAAAUUUUUGUUACAUAAAUAUGCAAAUAAUCAUAAAAUCAUAUGAGUAGAAACUUCAUUUAAUAAAUAUCCAUAUUAAAAGUGUACUAUAUAUAUAUGUUGAUAUCAUUUAAAUUUAAUUAUAUAUCAUAUACAAUAGAUAAUAUUGAUUAUUUUUAUUUAUUUACCAUAAAAUGAUUGCGAAUAAACAAGAAUUAUAGUUUGAUUUAUAUGCACACUCCAAUUUAUUACAUAAUAGUAACUGACUUCUUAGUUAUUUAAUAUAUAUACUUAUUAUUUUAUUAUUUCAUAAUAUGCAGAAAAACAUAAAAAAAUAAUAAAUAUAUAAUAUUUAUUCUGCAAAAGGUGUAGAUCUUAACCUAAGUAUGUAUCUCUUUAAUUAUUUUAAAUCAUAAGCAUUUUUUAAAUCUCAGGUCAAAACAAACAAACGAAAUGAGAAUAAACUUCAAAAUCAAUAUUUAUAUCGAACAAUAACCAAAAUGAAAAAAAAGAAAAAUAUUGAAAAUAGAUAGGAUUGACACAUGAACGUAAACUUUUCAUAACCAUAAUUAAUUUUUAAAUUACUAAAUCAUGAUAUAAAACCGAGGUGACAUAGUUUCAUUGUAAUCAAAUAGAUCCGAGAUUUUUCGACCUAAACGUUAGGUUCUUAUACGGUAAGUGAUUUUUUGACCUAAAAUUUUAUUAAAAAUGAGACUAGCUCAUCAGUAAACAAAUUACGUAAUUAAGAAAAGUUUAAAAAUGUGUUAUUUUCCCCGAAAUUUGUACCUCAAAGACCCAAAAAGAGGCAUCAUGAAAAGCGCUUGAGCGUUUAUUUUGGGCUACAUAAUGUAAGAUGCAACCAUGAUGAACCAACCCAAAUAGCGACUAUAUGGGCCCACUUAGUGAAAACCUAAGCAAAGGUUUCUAGCAUUUAGAACCUCUGGUUGGAAACAAAGGUUCUAUCUUAUGCGUAAAUCGUACAGAUAUUUUGGUCUCUUUUCCUGUCAGAAGGUGAAUUAGUGGAAGCAAUGGAUAGACGAGACUUAAGGAAGAUGCUUAUAGAAUAUAGAUCCAGGCUCGAUGGAUUCAGUUGUACUUGAAGUGAAGGUAUGGCCUCAAGCCAUUCCUGAUAGUCAUUUGAUUUGGUAGACGAAGCAGCGAAAGCUUUUCUCUGGUCAUGAAGGCAUAUUCUUGGGUGGAAAUUAGCAUUUGGUCGGUUGUGUAAAAGGUGCUUAUGAAACUGUUAACUAUUUUCAUUUUCGAGGUACGCUUACAAGUAAUAUAACAUAGCAACACUUUGAUAGGAAGUGAAGCUGUAGAUUGCAGUUUUGACUUUAAGAAACCUCCGUUUUUAAUUUAUAUAUAUAUUACAAUAAAUUGUGGCCAAAAUAGCAGCAAAAAUACAACACAAAAGCAUGAGAGAUGGUUGAAUCUAGAACAAAUCGAUCAUAACUCUUGAAUCUUGAGGAUCUUCAUGAAGUGGUGAGAUCUUGAUCGUGUCGAGUGAUGUUGGUCUUAGAGCUUCAUGUUGCGUGUAAUGGGGAGAAGAUGAUGAUGAUGAUGAUGAUGUUGUGAGAAGCAUGGAGGAAGAAGGGAACUCGGGGUUUGUAGGGUGGAGGAUUUGUGUGAGCAGAAGCACAAUUGACGCCAUUGAUGAUGUUGAUGAACUUUGAAGAAGCUUAUCUGCGUGUUUUGGGAUUUUUUUGGUAUGUUUUUAAAUUUUCCCAAGUGAUUCUGGUCUGUUAUAUAUAGAGAGAGAAACAGUGGGAGCCUCCUGUAAUAAAUCUAACGACCGUGGUUUUGUGUGUUUGAAAUCUAACGGACGAGAGAAUCCGGUAGGUUCUUAAAAACUUUGUGUAGCAAGUGGUUUCUGGGCUUUGACUUUUAGCUCCCAUUUAUUUCUCGCCCACAUAAACUAGCUGUCCCACCUAGCAAAAUAGUACAUUAAAUUACAUCAAGAAUUUCUUGAAUGCUGACAAAGAAAACGAAAUUCUUGAAUACCAAAAAGUUACAUAUAAUUUUUAUGUAGUAACAAAAUAUCAUAU